GGCAUUAUCUGUCUGCCUUUGUGUAAGUUAAUUGCCUGCUCUUACCACUUUCUUCAUGUUAUGGUUUCUUCUUUUAUAUAUAUAUUUAAAAAAAGAAAAGAAUUUUGAAGAGCAUACAAAUUUUAAUUAUGUAUCCAACAAGAAAAUAUGAUAUUAGGUUAAGAGCUUCUGUAGAAUAAUUAUUUGGGUCUGAUAUGAUCUCACAUUGAUAUUAGCUUAGCAAUGCUAAGUAAUAAUUUUGACGAGAGCUUAAUAAGUUCCUAACUGCCCUCUUCUUACAAGCCUACCUUGGUGACUUCUUCUCAACCUAUUGAUUUGUGGUGUUCAAUGAUUUAUAUCUAAUAACAUUAGAGUCAGCCCCAUCUUGCGAGUCUUCCGUAAAAGUUAUGGCCAAUGAAGUAGCAAUAGAGUGGUCUAGUCUAGUUAGUUAGGUGACUUGUUUCUCACUUGAUUUAACCUCAAAAAAAGUCUCCACAAAUUAACAAAGAUAA
rnacentral:misc_RNA from 1 species